rnacentral:rRNA from 1 species
GACGAACGCUGGCGGCGUGCUUAACACGUGCAAGUCGAACGGAAAGGCCCUGCUUUUGUGGGGUGCUCGAGUGGCGAACGGGUGAGUAACACGUGAGUAACCUGCCCUUGACUUUGGGAUAACUUCAGGAAACUGGGGCUAAUACCGGAUAGGAGCUCCUGCUGCAUGGUGGGGGUUGGAAAGUUUCGGCGGUUGGGGAUGGACUCGCGGCUUAUCAGCUUGUUGGUGGGGUAGUGGCUUACCAAGGCUUUGACGGGUAGCCGGCCUGAGAGGGUGACCGGCCACAUUGGGACUGAGAUACGGCCCAGACUCCUACGGGAGGCAGCAGUGGGGAAUAUUGCACAAUGGGCGGAAGCCUGAUGCAACAACGCCGCGUGCGGGAUGGCGGCCUUCGGGUUGUAAACCGCUUUCGCCUGUGACGAAGCGUGAGUGACGGUAAUGGGUAAAGAAGCACCGGCUAACUACGUG